AUUGAACGCUGGCGGAAUGCUUUACACAUGCAAGUCGAGCGGCAGCACGGGGGCAACCCUGGUGGCGAGCGGCGAACGGGUGAGUAAUACAUCGGAACAUGCCCAGUCGUGGGGGAUAACACUUCGAAAGAAGUGCUAAUACCGCAUACGUCCUGAGGGAGAAAGCGGGGGAUCUUCGGACCUCGCGCGAUUGGAGUGGCCGAUGUCAGAUUAGCUAGUUGGUGGGGUAAAGGCCUACCAAGGCAACGAUCUGUAGCUGGUCUGAGAGGAUGAUCAUGCACAAUGGGACGGAGACACGGCCCAGACUCCUACGGGAGGCAGCAGUGGGGAAUUGUGGACAAUGGGGGCAACCCUGAUCCAUCCAUUCCGGGUGAGUGAAGAAGGCCUUCGGGUUGUAAAGCUCUUUCGGCAGGAACGAAACGGCGAGCUCUAACAUAGCUUGCUAAUGACGGUACCUGAAGAAGAAGCACCGGCUAACUACGUGCCAGCCGCCGCAGUAAAAC
rnacentral:rRNA from 1 species